CGUACCCCAAACCGACACAGGUGGUCAGGUAGAGAAUACCAAGGCGCUUGAGAGAACUCGGGUGAAGGAACUAGGCAAAAUGGUGCCGUAACUUCGGGAGAAGGCACGCUGAUAUGUAGGUGAAGUGGUUUACCCAUGGAGCUGAAAUCAGUCGAAGAUACCAGCUGGCUGCAACUGUUUAUUAAAAACACAGCACUGUGCAAACACGAAAGUGGACGUAUACGGUGUGACGCCUGCCCGGUGCCGGAAGGUUAAUUGAUG
rnacentral:rRNA from 2 species